AUUUUUUGAAUAAAUUUUUAUUGUAAUUUAUCAUUUGAAAUGUCGAUUACCACGUUUGUUCUCUUAUUAUUUUCUUUGCAAUUUUUACAGAACAAGAUGUGGCCUUCUUUCCUGAUAGAGUUGAGUCCUGAUGACGUUGAUUCAGGUGCAUAAUGAGAUACACCUGAAUUCAGGUUUAUUUUUGUAAGAGAGAAGAGAAAGCCUGUAAUGGCAACUAAACUGCAACUAUUUGCUACAAAGUUCGAUGCGAGGUAACUAUGGCUACAAUUUUAACAAAAAAUAUCUAAAAAGUGACAAUUAACAGAAAAAAGAAAACUAAAAAAAAAAGAAUUUAAGGGAAUUAUUAUUGCCAAACUACCUAAGUUGCGCCAUAAUAUCUAAUAAACAAAUUUGUAUGAAAUAUCAGAUUUUGAAAAACAUAUGAAAUGGCUGAAAAGCAAGGGAUAAAUUUAUAAAAAAUGCACUGAAACAAAUUUGAAUUUGUAAUAAAAGCGUCAUGCAUCAAAAAGUCAUAAUUCAGAAAAGUGAUAAUUCGUGACGAAAUAUCAUAUAUCAGAAUCUUAUAUUAAAAGAAAACCGAAACAGAAAUAAACAAUGUAAACGACGUCGAUUUAUUAGUGAAUGCAUCAGAAUGUGCUUACUUUGAAAUUCGAAUUUCAACGUCU